rnacentral:sRNA from 1 species
UCUCCAGUCACUGCCUGAACUCGGCUUUCCUGGACCUUAGGGGAUAAAUAGUGUGGUCCAGCACUGCCCUGGGUGAGCUGAGUCAUGCCCUUGGCAGGGUCGAGGAGCUCCCGUGAGGAGACCAAUCGCCUAGCGUGAGUCUUCUUCCGGGACUGCUCGCCCUCUGCCCUCUAGGUGCCGGGCGCCGCCCGUCCCCACCUCCAUCAGAACUCGGGUCAUCUGCGGAGCCUUGGCUGCGGCCCGGUACCUGGGUGUGACUCCGCCACUAACAUUUUCCCAGCAGGAAGCAGCAAGAAGCUCAGCACAGAAAUAAAACUGUCCUGGUGAGUCGCUCACAGCCUGUCCCAGUAACUGUUCCGGAGCGUCAGCCUGACGCAGCACCCCUGGAGGACCACGCCGUGCGGGCUGCGAGCCUCGCCCUUAACCAUGCCCAGCAGGACCAGAGCCGCCAGCACAAAUCAAGGUCCUGGCCAUUGAACAACUUCUGAGCCUGCACUUUAAGAAGGCGCUCUUGUUUUGAAUACGUAAUCUGUCCUGUUCUUUCAAAGUAGAUCUUGGUCAAGAAUGUCUCCAAAGCUGGAUUAAGCCAGUGUAAUUGAAUGGGAAUAUAGACAACCAGGACAGACUCAGAUUUUUUUUUAAUGUAUUGGCCCAGGAAGGCUAGAAAUCCUCCACUUGACCUAACAGAAGAUAAUUAGAAUUAAAAAUGGCACUAACUGAAAACGUACUUGUUAAAUUGCCUGUGCUUAUAGA